rnacentral:lncRNA from 1 species
GGGAGGGAGAGGGGGACGAGAGAGAGGGACAAGGGUUAGCGCAAAGCGGUCAUGGGCUGUCAGAAUUAUUGGAACUUGGAACUUAGAACUCUUGAAAGAUCCUGGAAUCAUAAUACAAAAAUCCAGCGAAAGUCUGGGAGAGACUCUUCUAACGAGAGAAGGGUGGAGUACAGAGUGAGGGAGUACAGAGUGAUGGAGACGAUUAUGGAGGACAGAGUGAUGGAGUACAGAGUGAUGGAGAACAGAGUUAUGGAGAACAGAGUGAUGGAGAACAGAGUUAUGGAGAACAGAGUGAUGGAGAACAGAGUGUAUGGAGGACAGAGUUAUGGAGAACAGAGUGAUGGAGUACAGAGUGAUGGAGAACAGAGUGUAUGGAGAACAGAGUUUAGGAGAACAGAGUGAUGGAGACAAGUUAUGGAGAACAGAGGGAUGGAGAACA